AGAGCAACUGCUGGGUCAUAUGGUAGUUAUAUAUUUGGCUUUUAAAGAAACUGCCAAACUGUUUUCCAAAGUGACUGUACCAUUUUACAUUCCUACCAGCAAU
rnacentral:pre_miRNA from 1 species